rnacentral:rRNA from 1 species
GAUGAACGCUAGCGGCAGGCCUAAUACAUGCAAGUCGAACGGUGUCUUCGGACAUAGUGGCGCACGGGUGCGUAACACGUAUGCAACCUACCUUACAUUGGGGGAUAGCCUUUCGAAAGGGAGAUUAAUACCGCAUAAGACAGUAGCUGGGCAUCCAGCAGCUGUUAAAGAUUUAUCGAUGUAAGCUGGGCAUGCGUCCAAUUAGCUAGUUGGUGAGGUAACGGCUCACCAAGGCAAUGAUUGGUAGGGGAACUGAGAGGUCAAUCCCCCACACUGGAACUGAGAUACGGGCCAGACUCCUACGGGAGGCAGCAGUAGGGAAUAUUGGGCAAUGGACGAAAGUCUGACCCAGCCAUGCCGCGUGCAGGAUGAAGGCGUUAUGCGUUGUAAACUGCUUUUAUACAGGAAGAAACGACUCUUGCGAGAGGCAUUGACGGUACUGUAUGAAUAAGCACCGGCUAACUCCGUGCCAGCCGCCGCUGUAACAC